GAUGAAGAACGCAGCGAAAUGCGAUAAGUAAUGCGAAUUGCAGAAUUCCAGUGAGUCAUCGAAUCUUUGAACGCACAUUGCGCCCUUUGGUAUUCCGAAGGGCAUGCCUGUUCGAGCGUCAUUAUCACCCCUCAAGCCCUCGGCUUGGUGUUGGACGGUUUGGUGGAGGCCCCCUCGGGGGCUCCUGCCCCUCCCAAAGACAAUGACGGCGGCCUCGUUGGACCCCCGGUACACUGAGUUCUUCACGGGACACGUAUCGGACACAUGGGUUUACGGGACACGGUCUGCCUCCCCUCAGGGAGAAUCUUUCUAAGGUUGACCUCGGAUCAGGUAGGACUACCCGCUGAACUUAAGCAUAUCAAUAAGCGGAGGA
rnacentral:misc_RNA from 1 species